AAUAUGACCCCAGGAUUUUAUGACACGUGGAGAAUAUUUAAUUGUUAAUUUAUGACGGCACUAACAGUGGAAAAGGUCAGUUUAUGAUCGCCGAGCGUCACACACCGCCCCAGAGUGUAUUUGUCACGCCAUCAUGUCACCGACCUCGUAUGUCUUACUCCCGUCCUCUCUGUUUGACCCCCUGACUUUCACAUUUUGGACAACGUCAGGCUAUUUUCUGGAUUUACUGCUAAAAGUAGCCAGAGAUGACCAAUGGUUUAGUAUUGUAUUGUAAUCAGUCGACCGUGUCUAAACAUUUUAUUAUCUGUCCACUAUAUAACAGUUUUACUUUUUUACAAACAAAAACGAUAGGUCACUUCCAGGUCUUAUGGAGGUCACAUUUGGACAGUGCAAUCCCAAAAAAUGUUUUAAUUGUCCUCACGUGUUCAUUAGAACUGACUGUUUGUCCUCUCUGUCCCACAGUAGUUUAAAUGAUAUUUGUUCUGAAGAUGGAUCAUUUCAGACAGUGAUGUGUUGGAUUACAACUAAUUAAGUUACUCCUCAGGGGUUCCUUUGUGUCAUAAAGGCAGAAUAGCCUGAAGCAACCUGGCUCACACACACAUCAUUUAAAUAACCUCCCCACCACCUCCCAGUCCUCCCUGUUGUCCUUCACUGCUCCAGCUUUUAUUUUCUCCUCACUUUCUCACUUUUCUCCUUUGCAUAUACCCUUUGCCUUCCUUCAUUCCUUCCUUUCCUCCUUACUUUCACUCCUCUGUACUUGAAGCAGUUGCAUCAUUUCUUUCCUCUUCUUAUCAUGCUUUUCCCUCCCUGCCUUUAAACCAUCUCACCCUCCUACCUCCUCCAUCAGUCUCCAGGGAGGCAAAGAUACCCCUGCCCCCUCGGCCCCCUUCUCCCAUUCCCCCUGUCCACCUCCUUCCUCCUGUUCCCUCUUUUUUACCUCCCUCCCCCCGUUCAAAAUCAUAGGCAGCCGCUGCUUGCGUUGCUCUCUCUGCUUCCUCCUCCUUUCCCUCCAGUCCUUUUUUUUCCCCGUUUACUCUGAUCUCACUUGUGCCGCGUUUCAGUGUCGUAGCAGCAGCGGUUGUAGUUGUAGUAGUAGUGAAAGGGGAGUAGGAAGGAGAGGAGGCGGAGGAGGCUGGGCUUGUAGCUCAUCAUUAUCACUCACGAGUACAUCACAAACGCAAAGACAACAGGAGCCCAGGAUUCUGGAUUUAACUAAAUUUACUGUUUGUCAGGAGGAGAGAGCGUCUCUUCUCUUCUCAAUGGAAGGUUUAUACCAUGGUAAGGACAUUAUUAUUGACAUUAAAACUUUAAAAUAAUAAGUUUGACUGUUUUUACAGUAGCUUAUAUUAUUGUAAACAUUUGGACUUUUAAGAUAAAUGUGUUCGUUUUUCUGUUUUUUUUUUAAGUAAACAUUACCAGCAUGUUACCAGCACAGAUGUGUGUGCAGGAGAUAAAUUGCUUCCUCCUCCACUUUGUUUCUAAGUUGACUCAUCUAUAUUUCAGUGUGUGUUAAUUGUUUAAUCUGGGUUCAUAUUUAAUGCAGAAACACUGAAUAAAAGACAAACCAAAGCCAGUGUCAACAACUGAAAUAUGAAAUUAUAACUAGUUAUUAGUAAGUCUAACAUAUAUUACCAUGAGGUUACCUGGCGAACAGAAUUCAUGUCUCGUCCUCAUUAGGAGCAAGAGUUUUGGCCAAUAAAAACCCUUCUAAAUCUUAAUGCAAAGUUUACUAGAAAAUCGAUUUUCUUUUCUUAUUACCUUAGGUUUGAAUUUACAGCCGUCAGCUGCGUUUUAAUCUGUUUAAAAAAACAUCCACUGGUGUCAUGUAUGAACCGCAGCUCUUAUCUCCUCCGCGCAUUCGCCCUCAAUCUGUUGUGUUGAAUUAUACAUAGUGUAUCUGGAGAGUAUGUGAUACCUUAACAUGUGCGCUUCGCUUCCAAGCUGGUGGGCUUCAUCACUGCACCUGAACUUGACUGCACAAUUGUGUGUGUGUGUGUCAAUGUGAUGCAUGUGCUUUUUCAGAUAACGUGUGGAGCAAUCAUGUGGUAGCAUGACCUCAUUAUGUUUCAUGUGUGCAGGACUAAUCUGAUGCAUCGUCCGUGUUUGUGUGUGUGUGUGUGUGUGUGUCAUGUGCAUUUGAUAAGCUGUUUUUUAAAAUUGCUCACCGUCAUUUCAAUAAUUACUAAGGAAAUACACGCAAGUUACUAACGUAAGCUGCAUAUUUUAUGUUUUUAAAAAGUCAGUACUAAAAUAUUUUUGUAUCAUUCAAAAUUAUUUCACCAUAAAAACAAACAUAUCAUCAUAUUAAAAUCAGAACAAUGUGAGGCCAAAAAUAUUCAUUUUUGUUAGUCUUUCAUACGUGAGUGUUUGUGAGGCCAGCAGGUGUGAUUGAUGCCUCAGGCGUUAUGUUGUGUUGUAAGACUACACGCUCCAGUAACACCCCAUUGUUCAGAGGGUCAGACACACACACCCACCCACACCAAAGAGUGUGUGCCCGCUCAGCUUGAAGGUUGGCCAUUAAACUGUGGGCAGUGAGGCAGGGCAGCUGGCUGCCCUCCUCAAGUUGAAGCACUUGAUUCUUUACUGUGUUUUAUCAAACAUCUGCCUACGUUUCUUCACAGACAGUUUUGUCUUUGCUGUAGUGUGGAGUGCAAACAUUGUAAAAAUUAAAUCUGGGAAAUUCUGGUUCAAGUAUGGCGCACAUUUUGUGAUGAUUCUGUGUAUUUCCUGAACCGUUGUCUCUGUGUCUCUGUACAGUCAAGAGUUGACGUUCAGUUUAACUUCUGUUGCCUCAUUACAGAGCAGCAAGCAACUCAAACUAGACACAGAAGUGGUGCAGUGUGUCUGCCAGAAUCAAAUCAUUGAUGUCAUGCACACUACAUGUGUAGGCACAGGCCUGGACUUAGCCCAUAUUCUGAAAAACAAAGGACCAGAUGCUGAAUUGAUUGCAGGAAAUCAUCAGCCCAUGGAUCACUGCAGGUGUUGUGAAUAACACAAGUGAACAAGGAAGCUGUAUGGUCUGUGUCGCUUGUCCAUCCAGAGCUCAGCUGUAACACCUGACCUACACAGAACUGUAGGCUUAACUACAGAUACACUGGAAGCUCGAUGCUCAAAUAAAAAAACAAACAAACGUGCUUUAAAUCUCCAUGUCCGUGGUUUUGUGCCAGGAUGGUGUGGUAUUUGGCUAAAGCUCGUAAAAAUCAGGACAAAAAAAUCAAACCACUAAUGUUUUUUUUGCUGUCACUGUUUCCUAGCUGAUCUGUCAGGGAGCAGGUGUUGUGGGGUUCCUGCUAUAGUCUACAAGAGUGUGUGUUUGUGCACUUUUGUGUGUGUGAGAAAGACCUACGACCCACUUCGAUAUCUGUGCGGUGGAGGGUGUUAACCAGACUGGUAUAUAAUUAGCACCAUGCUGGUGCUCCUGCAGGUAAUUCCAUAGAGAACAAGAAAUAUCACAGGGAGCCUCCUGUCAACACUUCAUCCCAGACAUGCAAAUAGUGUAAUUAAUCAACGUGCACGGCAUUUGAAACAAAACAAGUAGAGAAGGUUGGAAAUGUGGAAUGUGUUUAUUAAAGUUUGCAGGAGUAGUGAUAAUAGGUUCAUCAAAGUCUGUCCUGGAUCAUAGAGAGUAGAUUUCUACAGCUACACUUUUGUUUUAACUCUAUUAAAAACAAAACAUAGCAGAAAUAUAAAUGAAUUAUACCCUAUGGUAUUAGUUUUUUCCAAACACUAUCAUUAAUACUGACAAUAAAACACAAUUAAGCCAAUAAAGGACUGAACAAUAAACCACAAUUAAGCCAAUAAAGGACUCACAAUAAAUGACAAUAUAACAGUGUUUACUGUUGAAAAUGGAGUAGGAUGAACUGAAAUAGGUUUUUUAUUCCCACAUUGUCAUUAAAUGUAUCUUUAUUAACUCUAUAGGCAGAAUCGUUCUUGUACAAAUCACUUUAUAAUGAUGUGUUUUAGCCUCUCACUAAUGUAUGUGAAGAAUUCCAGUCAUUAUAAUAUUGAGUUUAUGAUAUCUUUGAUGGAAGUUCAUUAGCAAAAUAUUUACAUAUACAAUAGGUGGAAGCAGAUUAUAAAUCACUUUGUAGUUUCUUUUCCCUUAUCCUAUUAUACAAAAAACCCUCUGUAUUAUUUGUUGUUGCAGCUAUCGACUUAAUGAUCCGAGCCCU